GACUCGACAACAUUGGUAUUCCCCGAUCAUAGACCAUAUUUUCAAUGUAUGAGCAUGAUGUCACUGUGAGGUUGAUACCAGAGUGAAAAGGAGUGAUACUGGAGUCUCUGAGAGAACAUAUCACGAUACAUUGUCGAUCAACCAAAAACUAGAUAUAAGAUGACUCACCAACAGAGUGGACCCCCUCCCCCAGGUGGCAUUGGAAACGAACCUUCAAGGCAUGCUCAAGUUCAGAUAAUAGUAAAAAAGACUAAUGGUAUUAGUAUGCCCAUGGAGGUAGUCUUGAAUUGGAGUGAAGACCUGUUGGUUGAAGAAAUUGGUGCCCGUAUCAACAUGGCUAGAAGCCAAUUUUACGUCACAUUCGGCAGCAAACAGUUGGGCGGUCCCAGGGAAAUAUUCGACACUGGCAUAAGGCACGGAAGCGAAGUAAGGGUUAAUGGCCGACUUCGUGGGGGCGACAAAGCAAAAUAUUUUCCUUCAAUCUAAUGAUUGUGACCUCCUGCAUGUGAUUGCUUAGUAUGUGUUCCACGCAAAAGGAAACUGUUCGAUGUGUAUGAUGUAUUCAAUUUCUAAAGAUCCAUAAUUUCAUGCUAAAAGUAGAAUUUCACACUCUCAACACACAUACAAAUAUUGUAGCAGUCCAUUCAUAUACUGCAUGUUGCCUAUUAUCACAUUGCAGUAAUUGAUUUUUCUUGCACGCUGUCAAAAACUUAGUAAUAAAAAUAAAUGCCCGCCAAGUUGAAGCCAGUGUAACAAUUUCGAAAUUCCUUUUGAAGCACAUAGAGACAACUUAAUAUGCGCCUAAUGCAGUACAAGUUCUAUAGUACUAUCAUUUAUGUCUUACACAUAUGUGUCCUAAUUUUGUAUUGAAAUCACUACUCAUUUUAUUGAAUAUUACAUUUUUAACUGAAAAUAGUCUAUUUAAAUGAAUUGAUGAGUAAAUCUGUGAUUAAGUGAAUUGAUAAAUCGUAUUCAUAAAAAAGUAUCUACCUUAUUUGUGGAUUAAAAUAUAUUUAUACAUCGAUAUACCGUACGUGUAUAUUAUGUAGAUCGGUCAUAUAAUAUUUGUUAUUUAGCUUGUACAUAAUUUUUUUCAUUAUAAUAGAGCAAGUUCAUUUGGGUUACAUAUCUAUGACUCAAUAGCAAGGGAAUGUUUGUUAAAGACUAGUAAUACUGUCGACAUAGUAGUAUCGUAAUAACCCUUUUAAAUUACAUUUUCCUGAACUUAAAAGAAUGCCCUGAAAGCUGGAAAUCUAUAUUAAGAUCAAUAUGGGAUUAAUCCUAAAAGAAAUUCACUUUUUUAACUCAUCACUAUACAACUUUUGAUCUGUAAUAUUUAUGUUACCUUGUUUAAAUGUAUACGCCCAUAAUAGGUUAUAAAAUUAAAAGCAUUCAACAUGAAAAUUGAUAUAGGAAAUCUUCAUUUUAAUAUCUUUUUGUGAUAGAAGAUCAGUGCAAGUUAUUCUGACACAUCACCUUCUUUAUCAUUACAAAUUUUAUGUUCUCCUUUUCUCGCUUAAAUAACCAGCAUUACAUUGACUAUUUUUAAUCAGAAUUAAAAUUCUAGUAAUAAAGUAAUUUUUCGAUUAUGCUCAUGACGAAAACAAUGUUUCACAAGUAAGACUCUAGUCGUAUUCGAAACUUUUCUCGUAAUAAAAAAGAAGUAAUAGUCUAACCCUCAUGGAAUUGAAUGCAUUUGAAUUAAUCUUUAUUGAUAUAAUUAUAUGCAAUAGACGUUAUUUUCUAUGUUUUGAAACAAUUUUAACCCAAAUGAUAUGAAGUCAAGCUGUUUUUCUUUUAAUCAUUUGACUUUGCUUGAAUAAGUAUAAUUAAAUUCACAAAAUGAUAAAGCUU